GAUGAACGCUGGCGGCGUGCCUAAUACAUGCAAGUCGAGCGAACGGACGAGAAGCUUGCUUCUCUGAUGUUAGCGGCGGACGGGUGAGUAACACGUGGAUAACCUACCUAUAAGACUGGGAUAACUUCGGGAAACCGGAGCUAAUACCGGAUGAUAUUUUGAACCGCAUGGUUCAAAAGUGAAAGACGGUCUUGCUGUCACUUAUAGAUGGAUCCGCGCUGCAUCAGCUAGUUGGUAAGGUAACGGCUUACCAAGGCAACGAUGCAUAGCCGACCUGAGAGGGUGAUCGGCCACACUGGAACUGAGACACGGUCCAGACUCCUACGGGAGGCAGCAGUAGGGAAUCUUCCGCAAUGGGCGAAAGCCUGACGGAGCAACGCCGCGUGAGUGAUGAAGGUCUUCGGAUCGUAAAACCCUGUUAUUAGGGAAGAACAUAUGUGUAAGUAACUGUGCACAUCUUGACGGUACCUAAUCAGAAAGCCACGGCUAACUACGUG
rnacentral:rRNA from 1 species